UACAGAGGGUGCGAGCGUUAAUCGGAAUUACUGGGCGUAAAGGGCGCGUAGGCGGUUUAAUGAGUGUGAUGUGAAAGCCCCGGGCUUAACCUGGGAAGUGCAUUGCAAACGAUUGAACUGGAGUCGUGGAGAGGGUGGCGGAAUUUCCGGUGUAGCGGUGAAAUGCGUAGAGAUCGGAAGGAACGUCGAUGGCGAAGGCAGCCACCUGGCCACAGACUGACGCUGAGGCGCGAAAGCGUGGGGAGCGAACAGGAUUAGAUACCCUGGUAGUCCACGCUGUAAACGAUGAGGACUAGAUGUUGGAGGGGAGACCCUUUAGUAUCGAAGCUAACGCGAUAAGUCUUCCGCCUGGGAAGUACGGCCGCAAGGUUGAA
rnacentral:rRNA from 1 species